GAUGAACGCUGGCGGCGUGCCUAAUACAUGCAAGUCGAGCGAACAGAUGAGGAGCUUGCUCCUUUGACGUUAGCGGCGGACGGGUGAGUAACACGUGGAUAACCUACCUAUAAGACUGGGAUAACUUCGGGAAACCGGAGCUAAUACCGGAUAAUAUAUUGAACCGCAUGGUUCAAUAGUGAAAGAUGGUUUUGCUGUCACUUAUAGAUGGACCCGCGCCGCAUUAGCUAGUUGGUAAGGUAACGGCUUACCAAGGCAACGAUGCGUAGCCGACCUGAGAGGGGAAUCGGCAACACUGGAACGGAGACACGUUCCAGACUCCUACGGAAGGCAGCAGUAGGGAAUCUUCCGCAAUGGGCGAAAGCCUGACGGAGCAACGCCGCGUGAGGAAUGAAGGUCUUCGGAUCGUAAAACUCUGUUAUUAGGGAAAAACAAAUGUGUAAGUAACUAUGCACGUCUGGAGGGUACCUAAUCAGAAAGCCACGGCUAACUACGU
rnacentral:rRNA from 1 species